rnacentral:rRNA from 1 species
AGAAUUUGAUCAUGGCUCAGAAUCAACGCUGGCGGCGUGCCUCAGACAUGCAAGUCGAACGAUUAAAGCUCUCUUCGGAGAGUGCAUAGAGUGGCGCACGGGUGAGUAACACGUAAGUAAUCUACCUUCGAGUGGGGAAUAACCCGGGGAAACCCGAGCUAAUACCGCAUAAUGCAGCGGCAUCGCAAGAUGACAGUUGUUAAAGGAGCAAUCCGCUUGAAGAGGAGCUUGCGGCAGAUUAGCUAGUUGGUAAGGUAACGGCUUACCAAGGCUACGAUCUGUAUCCGGUCUUAGAGGACGGUCGGACACACUGACACUGAACAACGGGUCAGACUCCUACGGGAGGCAGCAGUCGGGAAUUUUGGGCAAUGGGCGAAAGCCUGACCCAGCAACGCCGCGUGAAGGAUGAAGUAUUUCGGUAUGUAAACUUCGAAAGAAUAGGAAGAAUAAAUGACGGUACUAUUUAUAAGCUCCGGCUAACUACGUGCCAGCAGCCGCGGUAAUACGUAGGGAGCAAGCGUUGUUCGGAUUUACUGGGCGUAAAGGGCGCGUAGGCGGCGCGGUAAGUCACUUGUGAAAUCUCUGAGCUUAACUCAGAACGGCCAAGUGAUACUGCAGUGCUAGAGUGCAGAAGGGGCAAUCGGAAUUCUUGGUGUAGCGGUGAAAUGCAGAUAUCAAGAGGAACACCUGAGGUGAAGACGGGUUGCUGGGCUGACACUGACGCUGAGGCGCGAAAGCCAGGGGAGCAAACGGGAUUAGAUACCCUAGUAGUCC